CAUAUUGGAGAAUUCUAACUUUGAAAAUUCUUGCGUUCACUUUCAUAGUUUUAUAUCAUGGUGGUCAUAGAAAAAGCCAAGGCCCGCACUGUUUAGCCAUGAAAUGGCCAAUUUCAAAACUAUACUUUGAGGUGGUUUUUAAUUCUGGGAAAGCUGCUAACCCCCUGAAUUGAAGGGGAAAAUACAUUUUUACCCCCCUCAUUUUCGUUCCACCCACACCACUUUCCCCCAAAUUCUCCCCAACCUGAAAAUCCCUUCAGCCCUAGCUCCCAUGCAUUUUGCACCAAGGUCGGUCGAUAGAGUCUUCGCAACACCACCUCCGCCUUCCCACUCGGCGAUUCGCGGCUGCUGGCUCCGACACGGCUGGUUCUGCCCGCCGUCAUCGCGAGCGGCCGAGAAUCCCGAGCAGCUAACCAAGUGAAACUCAUCCCUAAAGCUGAGUUUCUUCCUUUUAUCUAAUUCGAGUUCUUGAAAUUGAAUUAAUUGGAUUUGUGAUUGUCGAAAUAGCUUCAGUAGUUUGUUUGAUUUCUGGUUUUGAUUCCAAUUAUCUCGUCUCUAAUUCUUAAUCUUUAUUUAGCAUACUGUUAGUUAUAGUUUGGAUACGGAGGAGCUUGCAGCUAGAGGUGAAGCUAUUGGUGUUGAUUCAAGCUUUCUUAUUUAUAACCCCCUCUUGUAAUCGGCUUGUGUCGCAAUUUCGACGCUAUACCAUUGGCGGCGAUCGAAUAGAAGAGAGAGAGAGGAGAUGAGUCGGACAACAGCCAAAGUGUUUCUGUUGAGGUCGUUGCUGAUGAAGAGAUCUGUUUCGUGUAGCGCUGAAGUUUUCUGUCGAGGCACCGCCGGAGAUUGAGAAAUUUGAAGAAUAGAGAAAGCGUAUGUGUUGGGAAUUUUAAUGGGGUCAUUUUCGUCAGAAUACAUAAAUAAAUAAAUUGUUUUAUGUCAAAACUGUGUUUAUAUCUUGCAUACUCAACACUGCAUUUUAAUUUCAAUUAUGUGGGACCUACACAUGUAAAUGUGAUCAAGAUUUAUUUAUGUUUCUUUCCUAUCAA